UACGGAGGGAGCUAGCGUUGUUCGGAAUUACUGGGCGUAAAGCGCGCGUAGGCGGCUUUGUAAGUUAGAGGUGAAAGCCCGGAGCUCAACUCCGGAACUGCCUUUAAGACUGCAUCGCUUGAAUCCAGGAGAGGUGAGUGGAAUUCCGAGUGUAGAGGUGAAAUUCGUAGAUAUUCGGAAGAACACCAGUGGCGAAGGCGGCUCACUGGACUGGUAUUGACGCUGAGGUGCGAAAGCGUGGGGAGCAAACAGGG
rnacentral:rRNA from 1 species